rnacentral:rRNA from 1 species
GACGGAGGAUGCAAGUGUUAUCCGGAAUCACUGGGCGUAAAGCGUCUGUAGGUGGUUUAAAAAGUCCACUGUUAAAGAUUGAAGCUUAACUUCAAAAAUGCCGUGGAAACUUUUAAACUUGAGUAUGAUAGGGGUAGAGGGAAUUUCCAGUGGAGCGGUGAAAUGCGUAGAUAUUGGAAAGACCACCAAUGGCGAAGGCAACUCUACUGGGCCAUUACUGACACUGAGAGACGAAAGCUAGGGGAGCGAAUGGG